CCUACGGGCGGCAGCAGUGGGGAAUAUUGGACAAUGGGCGAAAGCCUGAUCCAGCCAAGCCGCGUGUGUGAAGAAGGCCUUCGGGUUGUAAAGCACUUUCAGUGGGGAAGAAAGCCUUGGGGCUAAUACCCUCGAGGAAGGACAUCACCCACAGAAGAAGCACCGGCUAACUCCGUGCCAGCAGCCGCGGUAAUACGGAGGGUGCGAGCGUUAAUCGGAAUUACUGGGCGUAAAGCGCGCGUAGGCGGUCUGAUAAGCCGGUUGUGAAAGCCCCGGGCUCAACCUGGGAACGGCAUCCGGAACUGUCAGGCUAGAGUGCAGGAGAGGAAGGUAGAAUUCCCGGUGUAGCGGUGAAAUGCGUAGAGAUCGGGAGGAAUACCAGUGGCGAAGGCGGCCUUCUGGACUGACACUGACGCUGAGGUGCGAAAGCGUGGGUAGCAAACAGGAUUAGAUACCCCAGUAGUC
rnacentral:rRNA from 1 species